AAGAGCGGAGGUUCUUCUGCCCAUUAGGAUGAAAUUGGUUUUAAUUUACAGACGUGAGCCGGAUGAAGGGGACAAGAUUACAAACUGCCAAGUGAAUCAGCUACUGGGUUGCAACAUUUCAAACUGGAAAGAUUUCCUUGGUUGAAGAACAUGUCAGAUAUAAACAACAAAGAUGGCAUAAUGACGCAGCUUGAAUUUCAACAGAAGAGAAAGAUUGGAAAAGCGGAAGCAGAGAUGCUGUGCAAGACAUGAUUAGAACAAUGGAGAAACAAAUGGGAAAAUAAACAUCUCACACAGGGAAUUUACAGGAUACAAAACUUUUUGUGGGAUUUUUUU